AUUGAACGCUGGCGGAAUGCUUUACACAUGCAAGUCGAACGGCAGCACGGGGGCAACCCUGGUGGCGAGUGGCGAACGGGUGAGUAAUACAUCGGAACGUGCCCAGUCGUGGGGGAUAACGUAGCGAAAGUUACGCUAAUACCGCAUACGAUCUACGGAUGAAAGCGGGGGACCGUAAGGCCUCGCGCGAUUGGAGCGGCCGAUGUCAGAUUAGGUAGUUGUGGAGGUAAAGGCUAACCAAGCCGACGAUCUGUAGCUGGUCUGAGAGGACGACCAGCCACACUGGGACUGAGACACGGCCCAGACUCCUACGGGAGGCAGCAGUGGGGAAUUUUGGACAAGGGGCGCAAGCCUGAUCCAGCCAUUCCGCGUGCAGGACGAAGGCCUUCGGGUUGUAAACUGCUUUUGUACGGAACGAAAAGGCUCUGGUUAAUACCUGGGGCUCAUGACGGUACCGUAAGAAUAAGCACCGGCUAACUACGUGCCAGCAGCCGCGGUAA
rnacentral:rRNA from 1 species